rnacentral:rRNA from 1 species
GAUGAACGCUGGCGGCGUGCCUAAUACAUGCAAGUCGAGCGAACAGACGUGUUUCUUGUUCCUCUCACGUUAGCGGCGCACGAGAGACUACCACUUGGAUAACCUACCUAUAUGACUGGGAUAACUUCUGCAAACCGGAGCGAAUACCGGAUAAUAUAUUGAACCGCAUGGUGCAAUAGUGAAUGACUGGCUUGCUGUCACUUAUAUAGGUUUCCGCGCCGCAUUAGCUGAGUGGUAAGGUAACGGCGUACCAAGGCAACGAUGCGUAGCCGACCUGAGAGAGGGGUAGGCGCCACUGGAACUGAGACACGGUCCAGACUCCUACGGGAGGCCGCAGUAGGGAAUCUUGCGAAAUAGGAGAGAGCAUGUCGGAGCAACGGGGGGUGGGUUAUGGAGGUCUUGGGACCGUAAGGUUGUGUUACUAGGGGAGGACAAAUGUGUAAGUAGGUAAGCAAGUAUUGACGGUACCUGAUGAGAAAGCAACGGCUAACUACGUG